UACGUAGGAGACGAGCGUUGUCCGGAGUUACUGGGCGUAAAGGGUGCGCAGGCGGCCUGGCGCGUCGCGAGUGAAAUCUCCUGGCUCAACUGGGAGGGUGGUCGCGAGACGGCUGGGCUUGAGGCUCGGUGAGGGGCGUGGAAUUCCGGGUGGAGCGGUGAAAUGCGUAGAGAUCCGGAAGAACACCGGUGGCGAAGGCGGCCUGCUGGGCAGUUUUGCUGACACUGAGGCGCGACAGCGUGGGGAGCAAACAGG
rnacentral:rRNA from 1 species